rnacentral:tRNA from 1 species
GAGAGGUGGCGGAGUGGUCGAACGCGCUAGUUUGCUAAACUGGUUUACCUAUAACGGGUAACGAGGGUUCGAAUCCCUCCCUCUCC